rnacentral:rRNA from 1 species
GCCUUCGGGUUGUAAACCCCUUUUCUCAGGGAAGAAUAAUGACGGUACCUGAGGAAUAAGUCUCGGCUAACUACGUGCCAGCAGCCGCGGUAAUACGUAGGAGGCGAGCGUUAUCCGGAUUUACUGGGCGUAAAGAGGGCGUAGGCGGCCUUUCAAGUCGGAUGUGAAAUCUCCCGGCUCAACUGGGAGGGGUCAUUCGAUACUGUUGGGCUAGAGGGCAGCAGAGGGAGGUGGAAUUCCCGGUGUAGUGGUGAAAUGCGUAGAUAUCGGGAGGAACACCAGUGGCGAAGGCGGCCUCCUGGGCUGUUCCUGACGCUGAGGCCCGAAAGCGUGGGGAGCAAACAGGAUUAGAUACCCUGGUAGUCCACGCAGUAAACUAUGGACACUAGGUAUGGGGGAGGGGUGGGGGCCUCUCUGUGCCGAAGCUAACGCUUUAAGUGUCCCCGCCAC